rnacentral:rRNA from 1 species
UACGUAGGGACCGAGCGUUGUCCGGAAUCAUUGGGCGUAAAGAGCGUGUAGGCGGCUACUUAAGUCCUGCGUGAAAUCCUGCGGCUCAACCGCAGGCGGUCGUGGGAAACUGGGUGGCUAGAGUGCGGGAGAGGAGAGUGGAAUUCCUGGUGUAGCGGUGGAAUGCGCAGAUAUCAGGAAGAACACCCGUGGCGAAGGCAGGUCUCUGGGCCACUACUGACGCUGAGAAGCGAAAGCAUGGGGAGCGAACAGG